GAAAUACUGCCAUCUGUGACAACAUGGACGAACCAGCCGAAGUGUGUGCCAGUCCGUCUCCGUGUCCGUCAGUCAAGCUGAGUGUCUGAGAUGAUCGCUGAGUCUAAGUGCCUAGACACGUAGAUCAUUUCCACGUCGGGGCUGUUAUCGGAAAUCUGAAGCACAGCCAGGUUAAGACACUUGCCCAAAGCCACACAGACAAUGGCAGGACUGGAAAAUCAACCCAGGCAGUCAGACUCCACAAGUCUCAUUCCUCAAUAUGGAAGCCCAAUGCCAAUGACAGUUUUUUCAGGCUCUUGGACAUUUGCUGCAGUUCUCCAAGCUGCUCUUCUCACUUCGUCUUCCUCAUGGAACAGCCCGGACCAGUUUACAUUCAGAAUUGGACACAGGGUCUUCACACCCACAGCAGAGUCCUUGCUCACGGAAAAGAGUUGGAUUUCCGGAUCUUUACCGGGUGUGUAUCUUUCACACAGAUUCUGAAUAUUGCACUGAUCUAUGGUCAAUUCAGUCAUACUUUGUCAUUGUUUUAGUCUCAAGUUAAAACAAAACACCAUGAACUCUCGAAUCACAGAUCUCUGAACCCUAGAAUAUUUCAUCAAUGAUGCAAAUGGUCAACAGGAAAAUGCAGUGGGAGAGACAGAGUGUUUAAUUUCUUCUUGGUUAAAUCCAAUAACCAGGAGGCCCCACUAAGCUCUAAAUAAUUCAUCGUGACUGGAGCAGACUACAGGUUCCAUAGAUAUUAAUUGUUGAUUUCCCCCUGACCUGGUAUUUUUCUAUCUAGAGUAAGAGUGGGCUGAGAAAGUGAAAAGCCACACACAGAGAGGGCCUAUACUAUUUUUGUUCAUCAUCAAGCUAGUUAUUGCUAAACACACGUAUGCUCCUCAAAUUGCAAUGGUUAUGUCCCCAUAAAACCAUAAAUCUUCAAGGGCACUGAUGAGGAAAGGCCAUGUGAGCACACAGUAAGAAGGCAGCUGUCUUCACGCCAGGAAGAGGGUCCUCCCCAGCAACCACAUCUGCUGGCACCUUGAUCUUGGACUUACCAUAAGAAAAAUGUCUGUUGUUUAAGUCACCCAGUCUAUGUAUUGUGUCAGACUAUACCACACCGCUAAGAACCAUGUGUGAGAGCGAAAAAACAAACAGAAAAAAACAACAGUGCUGCCACAUGAGCCUCAGCAUAAAAAGUCCAGGCACUGUGGGAAUAUUAACUGUUACAUAAAGUCUGCCUAGGUUUGAAAUCGUCGGAUGCCAUAUUCAUGAGUUCUGACUUUAUUAACGAUUCUUCAGCUUUAUUGGAGGUGUCUGUCUUAGGAAUGCUGUGCAUAUAAUUGUCAAGCCUGGGUCUCAGGUACUAAAUCAGUGUGGGCCUUACGGAUAGAGUCUGUGAAAGCAAAGGAGAAUUAGGAGCAAAGCCAGGACGUCCUUCCCAUCAGAAGUGGCCACAGGCUUUCAGUUGGCCACCUGAGCAUCCCUGGGAAGCUCUCAGAGUUAGACCGUAGAGGGACCUGCAAAUUCAUGUUCUAGUCUCCUCUGCACAUCCUGUGCUCUUUCGUCUCUGAAGCUGUUGGUGCUGUAAUCACUGAAUUUGAAUUUUUACUCUCUUCUAUGGAAUGAAUGGUCAAGUAUUAAAUACAGAAGUUUAUUUCUUCCAGGACCAUCAUUUCUAAUUAUUUGCCAAAAAAAAGGUAUUUUUAAAAUUAAGCCACACUAGAUUGAGAUUUUAACUAAAAUUUAUUAAGGUAAACCGGAAAGAAAACUUACCACCUAAAAUUUGCAUGGUUGUCUACUUGUAAUAUUUUAGCAGACAUGUUUUUUAAUGACUUAAAAUUUUCUGCUUUAUUGAGAUAUAAUUGAUAUAUAACAUUAUGUAAGUUUAAGGUGUACACUGUGUUAAUUUAAUGCACUUACGUAUUUCAAAAUGACUACCACCUUACUGUCAACUAAUACCUCAGUCAUGUCACGUAAUUACUAUUUCACUUGUGUGUAAGAUCUACUCACUUAGCAGCUUUUAAGUAUAUAAUACAGUAUUGUUAUCUAUAAUCACCAUGCUGUACAUUAGAUCCCCAAAACAUACUCAUCUUAUAAGUAGAAGUUUGUGCUCUUUAACCCACAUCUCCCUAUUUUCCCAGCCCCCAGCAAAUACCACCUUACUGUCUGUUUCUGAGUUCCAGUUUCUUAGAUUACAUAUACAAAUAAGAUUAUACAGUAUUUGUUGUUAUCUGUCAGACUUAUUUCACUUA